rnacentral:rRNA from 1 species
GAUGAACGCUGGCGGCGUGCUUAACACAUGCAAGUCGAACGGAAAGGCCCUGCUUUUGUGGGGUGCUCGUGUGGCGAACGGGUGAGUAAAACGUGAGUAAACCGCCCUUGACUUUGGGAUAACUUUAGGAAACUGGGGCUAAUACCCGAUAGGAGCUCCUGCUGCAUGGUGGGGGUUGGAAAGUUUCGGCGGUGCGGGAUGGAUUAGCGGCUUAUCAGCUAGUUGGUGGGGUAGUGGCAUACCAAGGCUUCGACGGGUAGCCGGCAUGGGCGGUUGACCGGGGUCAAGACGACUAAGGGAGGGCGCAGUAGGCAACGGGAGGCAGCAGUCGAGAACAUUGCGCAGUAAGCGGACGUGUGUUACGGCAGCGUUGCGUUCGGGAAGACGGGCUACUAGGGAUGAACCGCUUUGUCAGGUGAUGAGGCGUGAUUGACGGUAAUGGGUAAAAAAGCACCGGCUAACUACGUG